UACGUAGGGGGCUAGCGUUGUCCGGAUUCAUUGGGCGUAAAGAGCGUGUAGGCGGCCAUGUAGGUCCGGUGUGAAAACUCGAGGCUUAACCUCGAGAUGUCAUCGGAAACCAUUUGGCUAGAGUCCGGAAGAGGAAAGUGGAAUUCCUGGUGUAGCGGUGAAAUGCGCAGAUAUCAGGAAGAACACCAAUGGCGAAAGCAGCUUUCUGGGACGGUACUGACGCUGAGACGCGAAAGCGUGGGGAGCGAACAGG
rnacentral:rRNA from 1 species